CUCCAAAGAGAGGUGCGAGGGCUCCAGCUGCAGUGGCGAGGAGGAAAAUCGAGAAGGUGGCGAAUCCUCUGUUCGAGAAGCGUCCGAAGCAGUUUGGAAUUCGAGGAGCCCUCCCACCGAAGAAGGAUCUCACCAGGUUCGUCAAAUGGCCUCUCAAUGUCCGGAUCCAGAGGAAGAAGAGGAUCCUCAGGCAGUGCUUGAAGGUUCCUCCGGCGCUUAACCAGUUCUCCAAGACUCGACAAAAAUCUUGCAACAAAUCUGUUCAAGAUGCUUCUCAAGUACAGGCCUGAGGACAAGGCAGC